AUUGAACGCUGGCGGCAGGCCUAACACAUGCAAGUCGAACGAGUGGCGGACGGGUUAGUAAUUUCUGUGAAACUGCCUGAUGGAGGGGGAUAACUACUGUAAACGGUAGCUAAUACCGCAUACCUUCACAUGUUCCCAGAUGGGAUUAGCUUGUGGGUUGGGUAACGGCUGACCACGGCGACGAUGCAGAGCUGGUCUGAGAGGAUGACCAGCCACACUGGAACUGAGACACGGUCCAGACUCCGACGGUAGGCAGCAGUGGGGAAUAUUGCACAAUGGGCGGAAGCCUGAUGCAGCCAUGCCGCGUGUAUGAAGAAGGCCUUCGGGUUGUAAAGUACUUUCAGCGGGGAGGCGUUACCCGCAGAAGAAGCACCGGCUAACUCCGUGCCAGCAGCCGCGGUAAUAC
rnacentral:rRNA from 1 species